AGCUACCUGGCGCAAUGGUAGCGCGUCUGGCUUUGAUUGCUGAGUAUGCCAAAGGGUUGUAGAUUCGAGUCCUGCGGUGGUAG
rfam:Gymnopus luxurians FD-317 M1 unplaced genomic scaffold GYMLTscaffold_43, whole genome shotgun sequence.